GAUGAACGCUGGCGGCGUGCUUAACACAUGCAAGUCGAACGAUGAAAGCGGGAGCUUGCUCCUGCUGGAUUAGUGGCGAACGGGUGAGUAACACGUGAGCAAUCUGCCCCGAACUCUGGGAUAAGCGUUGGAAACGACGUCUAAUACCGGAUACGACGCGCGAAGGCAUCUUCUGCGCGUGGAAAGAACUUCGGUUCGGGAUGAGCUCGCGGCCUAUCAGCUAGUUGGUGAGGUAACGGCCCACCAAGGCGACGACGGGUAGCCGGCCUGAGAGGGUGACCGGCCACACUGGGACUGAGACACGGCCCAGACUCCUACGGGAGGCAGCAGUGGGGAUUAUUGCACAAUGGGCGCAAGCCUGAUGCAGCAACGCCGCGUGAGGGACGACGGCCUUCGGGUUGUAAACCUCUUUUAGCAGGGAAGAAGCGAAAGUGACGGUACCUGCAGAAAAAGCACCGGCUAACUACGUACCAGCCGCCGCUGUAAAAC
rnacentral:rRNA from 1 species